GAUAAACGCUGGCGGCGUGCAUGAGACAUGCAAGUCGAACGAACGAGCUUGCUCGUUAGUGGCGGACGGCUGAGUAACGCGUAGGUGACCUGCCCCGAAGUGGGGGAUAACUGCCCGAAAGGGUGGCUAAUACCGCAUGUGGCGACACUUUCAUUGGUGUCAUCAAAGCCGCGAGGCGCUUCGGGAGGGGCCUGCGUCCGAUUAGCUCGUUGGUGGGGUAAUGGCUCACCAAGGCGACGAUCGGUAGGUGGUCUGAGAGGACGAUCACCCAGACUGGGACUGAGACACGGCCCAGACUCCUACGGGAGGCAGCAGUCGGGAAUUUUGCUCAAUGGGCGCAAGCUUGAAGCAGCAACGCCGCGUGCGGGAUGAAGGCCUUCGGGUUGUAAACCGCUUUUGUCAGGGACGAUGAUGACGGUACCUGACGAAUAAGUCACGGCUAACUACGUGCCAGCAGCCGCCGUAAUAC
rnacentral:rRNA from 1 species